GACAGACAAUCGAAAAGCAUGUCAUCGUACGGCCUGUAUUCACAUCAGAUAUGUGGAGGUCAAAACAUGACGUCAUGCCGAGCGCCAACCACGGGCAGUUAUGUCCCUUUGCCGGAUUGGAACGAUAGCCGAAACAUGUGUAAUGAUGACGUCCUCCGAGUAAAACGAAACGUA
rnacentral:lncRNA from 1 species